GUUUCUUUUGUUCUUCACAUAUCCGGUGUUUCAUUCUUCAGUUUGUGCUUCUCUGGGAAUUUUCAGAAAUCUCCGACCAAAAAUCAAGUUCCAGUUAUCCCUUGGAUUUUGAAAGAAGUACUUGAGUCAUUGAAGAAAGGUUCUCCUCUGAACUGAUGUUGUAGCUUCUGAAUUCUAUAAAGACAAUAUCAUUUUCAAUUAUAGUGGAGGUUGAGGACACGGACGAACAUGGUGGUAAUUCACAGGAUGCUUGGGAGGAUGUAGGUCUAGAUGAACUUUCAUUCUAGCAUUGGGGGGAAGUAGUUGAAACUGAAAGCAGAGGUCAUCCAUCUGAUACUAAUACCAGUUUGCCUUCAGUCAAGUACAAAACUGGGAAAGAUCAACAUGGAAGAAUUGAAUCAUGUGUUAUUUACCGGGUGGACUAUGACAGUGUACUGAGGUAUCUGCUCCAGAGAGCACCUUAUAUGAGAAUUCUAUAGUUCAUCCAUUUCCUUCGCUUCAAAUUGAAGAAAAAUUGUGCAAGUUGGGAGCUAUACCCUUAUUGUAGUAGCAUUGCUUUGUCGGUGUGAUAAUCAUUGUGCUUCACUGUAUCAAGCUCCUACGUUUUAAAUGUAACUUUAACUUUUGGAUUCAUCUCUAAGGUUAUUUCUUUUUAUUUUUUAAAUGGAAUGACUGGCAUUAGUGGCCAGUUUUUAGC